AACAAUAAAAUAUUUUUAAGGCAUUGUGGUAUUUUGUAUACCUUAUGACAAAAAAAUGGUAAUUGACUGACCCUUGUUUGUCUGUGUUCCAUCCGCUUCUCAAAGUCUUACUGAGGAUAGUAAAUGUCACAAUUAAAAUUCUUACAACUGACAACUAUAGGCUACUAUGUAUGAACGCAUUAAGAUUUGUUGGUUUAAGAGAUGACUCCUAAAGUCCAGUACUGACCUAAUGGUUUUUCUUUAGUGUCAUUAAAAGCAGAACAGGUAAACAAAGCUGAUAUAAACAAACCUGAGGUAAAUAAAACAUCUCGUAUUAGCACAAUAUUUGCAUGUCAGCUGGAGUCAAAAUAACAUGUCUGAAUAAAUGCUAGAAUUCAACUCUUGUUCACGUCAUUCAAUAUUCGUAUUUAAAAAAAAAAAAUCCAUAUUAAAUAAACAUUGACCCCCAUCGACAUAAAAUCUUCAUUUAAUACCAUGAAUUGUAUUUUUAAUGCAUUUUACAUUUUACAAUGUUUAUUAAUUGCAGUCCAAUUAUGUUUUUAUUCCUAUGCAACAAAAAUUGAAUGUUAACUUCUUUUCUUAGCCUUUUUAAAUAUCUAUUUAAAGCUUGCGAUUAAAUAUGGUAUAUUUAUUGAUUAAAUAAAAAAUAGGCUAAAUAAAAAUAAAUAAACCUAAUACAAAAACAUUAAAUUGAAAUUAUCUGCUGUACCCAUAAUUAAUAGUAGAAUAUAUUUAUGUUUCCUCUCUCUCUCUCUCUCUCUCUAUAAAUUGAAAAUAAUGCAUGAGCAAUAUUUCAGUGCAUUGUUUCCAUUUUUUCUUCAAUAAAGUAAGAUAUGAUGGUAAUUUGUUCAUACCGAACUAACAAUAAACAUUUUUGCAUUCACAGAAGCACUGUUUGUUUUUACUUUAUUAUCAUAGUCACAACUGAUAUAUUGUAUAAAAUUUGUAUAUAUUAUAUUAUUUUAUAUUAAUUCAACAUAAUUCAUCAUACACUGAAUGUAUAUUGUGAUUAUAAUAUUCACUUCUUCACAAAAUAAAGUCUUCCUUUAUCCUGGUUCCACAUGAUGUAAGCAUGAUAAAAGAGGCUGUUGAUACAUACAUAUCAUAAAUUAGUUAUUAUUGUUUAUAACCCAGCUUGAAUCAUAUGUAGCCCUUGCUCCAGCUGUUAAUACAUUAUACAUACAUAAUACAUAACAUUCUGUUAAUACAUAUUAAAAAAGAAAAAGAGCUUCAGCUAUAUGCACUUUGCUCCUUUACAUAGUAAAAUCAGCAUUUAAUAAAUAAGGUCCAAGAAAAAAAAAGUACUCCCUCACUCUUUCUUUUUCACACAUACGCACACAUCAGGAUUACAUAUGCAUCUCCUGCCUUCUCCCAGUAGGAUCAAGCUGAGAAAAGAAGUCACAGGUCUUGCGCAUAGCCAGGAGUGCCGGUUUACCUAAAGGAGAGCCGAGGUCACAUCCUGCAAAGCUUUGCACUCCUACUGGAGUGUGUGUAUGUUUGUAUGAGAGAGAGAGGGUGAAAGAGAGAGAUAUAUAGUGGGUUUAUUUAGAGAAAGGCAGUAUUUUCCCUCGGGAAGCCGGAGGAAUUGAAGCUGUGUGCUGAGGGGAGGGGCACUUUUCUCUGGACGUGAAUGAAAGGGGCACGCUAAAACCCACUUGUGUGCUGGCAUGAUUGUUUACCAUGACCCCGACUUCUCCAAAGGUCCUGAACUGACAUCCUGGCUGUCACAAUAAUGCUGGGCAGAAGACAGCCCGGAGCUGACUUAAUGUUGAAGAGGACACAACAACCACCAUAUAAAGGCCAUAGCUGGUCUGGUUCGGUCAAAAAUCUCCACCUUUAAUCUCAUCCAAAGGAGAAAACCUCAUCCAUAUCUUCAGUUUAAAUGAUGCAGGUGAAACACAUCAUUCUUCUUAAGAGGGAGAGAAAAUUUUAGGUUUUCUACUUGCUUGCCUUGUGAUAUUUCUGAGCCGUCAGCAAUGCAGAAGCUGCUUUUCUC
ensembl:lncRNA